AGAAUGAACGCUGGCGGCGUGCCUUACACAUGCAAGUCGAGCGAGGCGGCCCGCAAGGGUCAGUCGAGCGGCGAACGGGUGAGUAACGCGUGGAUAACCUGCCCUGAGAUGGGGGAAUAACCCGGGGGAAACUCGGGCUAAUACCGCAUAUGACCGAGAGGUCAAAGGCGGCUCGCAAGAGCUGUCGUCUGGAGGAGGGGUCCGCGUCCGAUUAGCUAGUUGGUAGGGUAAUGGCCUACCAAGGCGACGAUCGGUAGCCGGCCUGAGAGGGUGA
rnacentral:rRNA from 1 species